ACGCUCGACACCUACGGGGGCAGCAGUGAGGAAUAUUGGUCAAUGGACGCAAGUCUGAACCAGCCAUGCCGCGUGCAGGAUGACGGCUCUAUGAGUUGUAAACUGCUUUUGUACGAGGGUAAACGCAGAUACGUGUAUCUGUCUGAAAGUAUCGUACGAAUAAGGAUCGGCUAACUCCGUGCAGCAGCCGCGGUAAUCUGAGGCGGGCGUGGCAAGGC
rnacentral:rRNA from 1 species